GUCUGGUUGAGUCUAUUCUCUUCUCUGUACUAAGACAAGGUCACACCUUUCUGGUUCUUUACAGAUCACACCACUGAACAACUCGAGCUUUAGAGAAAUGAACCAUUUGUUCAGAAGGAGAAGGCUUGCCAGACUGACGUUCAUUCUGCUAUAUUUUGCCAUUGAUGUACUCUGUGCUUCCCAGCAAACAGUCCAGUCUGAGACUCAGCAGGUGAAAGGCAUCAUGGGACAGUCUUUCUCUUUUCAAGAGAGGGUGAUCAAGACUGCCAAUUUACUUUAUGGAGAACUUGAUAGUAUUGCAAAUGUGUACCCUGGUAAACGAGGCAAAAUCACCCUUGAGAAGAGAUUUGAAAACCGCCUCCACUUGAACAAUGUUACAAGAUACUUCACUCUGUCAGCCCUUCAGAUUGACGAUGCUGGGGUUUAUACUGUGGAGAAUACAGAUGAAGGGAAAAAAACAACAAAAUUUGAGCUCACUGUAUACAAUGUUGUUUCCAAACCUCAGGUGACAGAGUGUGACAGCAGCUCCUGUAGUGUGGUGUGUUCUGUGGACAAUGAAAAAGAGGUGACCUUGACCUUGUACAGGGGAGAGGAAAUACUAAACCAAACUCUCCAUUUGGAGGUAGAGGGAAAGAACUACAACUCCACCUACAGCUGUGUGGCUGCCAACCCUGUCAGCAUUGAGACAGUUCUUGUCCCAAAAUGUUGCAGUGAAGAUGGUCAUCCUAAUGAUGCUGGAGGAGCGAACAGCUAUACAAGAACUGAAAUGGCUUAGAGACAACCCUGAACUGACAUCGGUUUACUACACACUCCAGUUACAUCGCAGCGUUGCCAGCGGGGAUGUUGACACAGCGACUUUCCAUUUUGCUCCUUCAUGCUGAGAGGUCAACAUGA
ensembl:lncRNA